UACGUAGGGUGCGAGCGUUAAUCGGAAUUACUGGGCGUAAAGCGUGCGCAGGCGGUUAUAUAAGGCAGUUGUGAAAUCCCCGGGCUCAACCUGGGAAUUGCAUCUGUGACUGUAUAGCUAGAGUACGGUAGAGGGGGAUGGAAUUCCGCGUGUAGCAGUGAAAUGCGUAGAUAUCUGGAGGAACACCGGUGGCGAAGGCGGCGUUCUGGACUGUUUCUGACACUGAGGAACGAAAGCCAGGGGAGCAAACAGG
rnacentral:rRNA from 1 species